UACGUAGGGAGCAAGCGUUGUCCGGAUUUAUUGGGCGUAAAGGGCUAGUAGGCGGUUCGGCAAGUCGGGUGUGAAAACUCUAGGCUCAACCUGGAGAGGCCACCCGAUACUGCUGUGACUCGAGUCUGGUAGGGGAGCACGGAAUCUCUGGUGUAGCGGUGAAAUGCACAGAUAUCAGAGGGAACACCGGUGGCGAAGGCGGUGCUCUGGGCCAGUACUGACGCUGAAUAGCGAAAGCGUGGGUAGCGAACAGG
rnacentral:rRNA from 3 species